rnacentral:rRNA from 1 species
GACGAACGCUGGCGGCGUGCUUAACACAUGCAAGUCGAACGGUAAGGCCCUUCGGGGUACACGAGUGGCGAACGGGUGAGUAACACGUGGGUGAUCUGCCCUGCACUUCGGGAUAAGCCUGGGAAACUGGGUCUAAUACCGGAUAGGACCACUGCCUGCAUGGGUGGUGGUGGAAAGCUUUUGCGGUGUGGGAUGGGCCCGCGGCCUAUCAGCUUGUUGGUGGGGUGAUGGCCUACCAAGGCUGCGACGGGUAGCCGGCCUGAGAGGGUGACCGGCUACCCUGGGACGGAGAUACGGCCCAGACGCCUACGGGAGGCAGCAGUGGGGGAUAUGGCACAAUGGGCGCAAGCCUGAUGCAGCGGCGCCGCGUGAGGGAUGACGGCCUUCGGGUUGUAAACCUCUUUCAGCACCGACGAAGCGCAAGUGACGGUAGGUGCAGAAGAAGGACCGGCCAACUACGUGCCAGCCGCCGCCGUAA